UACGUAGGCAGCGAGCGUUGUUCGGAGUUACUGGGCGUAAAGCGUGCGUAGGCGGUCUUGUAAGUCUGGUGUGAAAUCUCCCGGCUCAACUGGGAGGGUGCGCCGGAAACUGCAAGGCUGGAGUAUGGGAGAGGUAGGCGGAAUUCCUGGUGUAGCGGUGAAAUGCGUAGAUAUCUGGAGGAAUACCGGUGGCGAAGGCGGCAUCCUGGACCGACAUUGACGCUGAGGAGCGAAAGCUAGGGGAGCAAACGGG
rnacentral:rRNA from 1 species